rnacentral:rRNA from 1 species
GAUGAACGCUGACAGAAUGCUUAACACAUGCAAGUCUACUUGAACUUCGGUUUGGGUGGCGGACGGGUGAGUAACGCGUAAAGAACUUGCCUCACAGUUAGGGACAACAUUUGGAAACGAAUGCUAAUACCUGAUAUUAUGAUUUUAGGGCAUCCUAAGAUUAUGAAAGCUAUAUGCGCUGUGAGAGAGCUUUGCGUCCCAUUAGCUAGUUGGAGAGGUAACGGCUCACCAAGGCGAUGAUGGGUAGCCGGCCUGAGAGGGUGAACGGCCACAAGGGGACUGAGACACGGCCCUUACUCCUACGGGAGGCAGCAGUGGGGAAUAUUGGACAAUGGACCAAAAGUCUGAUCCAGCAAUUCUGUGUGCACGAUGACGUUUUUCGGAAUGUAAAGUGCUUUCAGUUGGGAAGAAAAAAAUGACGGUACCAACAGAAGAAGUGACGGCUAAAUACGUGCCAGCAGCCGCGGUAAUACGUAUGUCACAAGCGUUAUCCGGAUUUAUUGGGCGUAAAGCGCGUCUAGGUGGUUAUGUAAGUCUGAUGUGAAAAUGCAGGGCUCAACUCUGUAUUGCGUUGGAAACUGCACAACUAGAGUACUGGAGAGGUAAGUGGAACUACAAGUGUAGAGGUGAAAUUCGUAGAUAUUUGUAGGAAUGCCGAUGGGGAAGCCAGCUUACUGGACAGAUACUGACGCUAAAGCGCGAAAGCGUGGGUAGCAAACAGG